CCAGCCGGCCGGGCGGCCGCGCGAGCGAUAGCCGAAAGGCUGCUCGCGAGGAAAGUCCGGGCUCCACGGAACACGGUGCCGGAUAACGUCCGGCGGGGGCAACCCCAGGGAAAGUGCCACAGAAAGCAAACCGCCCGCUGUCAUGUGGGCAAGGGUGAAAGGGUGGGGUAAGAGCCCACCGCGCGACUGGCAACAGGAGCGGCAUGGUAAACCCCACCGGGAGCAAGACCGAAUAGGAACGGCGCCAAAGGCAGUCUCCGGCCUGGCCGUUCGGGUAGGUUGCUCGAGACCGAUGGCAACAUCGGUCCCAGAGGAAUGGUCGCCGCGUCAUGACGCCUUCCGGCGUCAGGGCCAUACAGAACCCGGCUUACAGGCCGGCUGGCAUU
rnacentral:RNase_P_RNA from 1 species